UACGGGGGGGGCAAGCGUUGUUCGGAAUUACUGGGCGUAAAGGGCUCGUAGGCGGCCAACUAAGUCCGACGUGAAAUCCCCAGGCUUAACCUCGGAACUGCCUUCGAUACUGGCGAUCUUGAGUCCGGGAGAGGUGAGUGGAACUCCGAGUGUAGAGGUGAAAUUCGUAGAUAUUCGGAAGAACACCAGUGGCGAAGGCGGCUCACUGGCCCGGUACUGACGCCGAGAUACGAAAGCGUGGGGAGCAAACAGG
rnacentral:rRNA from 1 species